rnacentral:rRNA from 1 species
GAUGAAUGCUGGCGGCGUGCCUAAUACAUGCAAGUCGAGCGAACAGACGAGGAGCUUGCUCCUCUGACGUUAGCGGCGGACGGGUGAGUAACACGUGGAUAACCUACCUAUAAGACUGGGAUAACUUCGGGAAACCGGAGCUAAUACCGGAUAAUAUAUUGAACCGCAUGGUUCAAUAGUGAAAGACGGUUUUGCUGUCACUUAUAGAUGGAUCCGCGCCGCAUUAGCUAGUUGGUAAGGUAACGGCUUACCAAGGCGAUGAUGCGUAGCCGACCUGAGAGGGUGAUCGGCCACACUGGAACUGAGACACGGUCCAGACUCCUACGGGAGGCAGCAGUAGGGAAUCUUCCGCAAUGGGCGAAAGCCUGACGGAGCAACGCCGCGUGAGUGAUGAAGGUCUUCGGAUCGUAAAACUCUGUUAUUAGGGAAGAACAAAUGUGUAAGUAACUAUGCACGUCUUGACGGUACCUAAUCAGAAAGCCACGGCUAACUACGUG